rnacentral:rRNA from 1 species
AUUGCCCCAUGAAUCUAUAUAUGGGGUAACUCCUGCCCAGUGAAAAUUCAACGGCCGCGGUAUCCUAACCGUGCAAAGGUAGCAUAAUCAUUUGCCUAUUAAUUGUAGGCUAGAAUGAACGGAUAAACGAAAUAAAAACUGUCUCAGUUAGUAACCUAAAAACUAUUCUCUAUGUGAAGAAACAUAGAUAAAUUCGAAGGACAAGAAGACCCUAUAGAGCUUUAUUUAAAAUACGGAAUAUCACCAUAUAAAAAUUCGGUUGGGGCGACCAAUGGUACUACAAAUCACCAUUAAAAACAUAGAUUAAUUAAUCGAAUAAAAGACCCUAUAAAGAUCACAAAAACAAGCUACCUUAGGGAUAACAGGCUAAUCCCACUUAAGAGUCCAUAUCUACAGUGGGGGUUGGCACCUCGAUGUUGGCUUAGGAUAUCUAUAUAGCGCAAAAGCUAUAUAAAGAUGGUUUGUUCAACCAAUAAUCUCCUACGUGAUCU